rnacentral:rRNA from 1 species
AUUGAACGCUGGCGGCAGGCCUAACACAUGCAAGUCGAACGGUAACAGGAAGAAGCUUGCUUCUUUGCUGACGAGUGGCGGACGGGUGAGUAAUGUCUGGGAAACUGCCUGAUGGAGGGGGAUAACUACUGGAAACGGUAGCUAAUACCGCAUAACGUCGCAAGACCAAAAAGGGGGACCUUCGGGCCUCUUGCCAUCGGAUGUGCCCAGAUGGGAUUAGCUAGUAGGUGGGGUAACGGCUCACCUAGGCGGCGAUCCGUAGCUGGUCUGAGAGGAUGACCGGCCACACUGGAACUGGGACACGGUCCAGACUCCUACGGGAGGCAGCAGUGGGGAAUAUUGCACAAUGGGCGCAAGCCUGAUGCAGCCAUGCCGCGUGUAUGAAGAAGGCCUUCGGGUUGUAAAGUACUUUCAGCGGGGAGGAAGGGAGUAAAGUUAAUACCUUGGCUCAUUGACGUUACCCGCAGAAGAAGCACCGGCUAACUCCGUG